AUAUUGGUUCGUUAAAAGAACUGAGUUGUCCGAUUUACACUAGAGAUGGAUCAUUCGUCAAAACACAUCGUCUGUCAGACGGAUCAUUCGGUCAUAUGUUGCACGAUCCAAUAUUUGCUGCAACUUGCAACGCAGUUUCUGCCACAGAAGAGCCUUAAUUGCUAGCUAUAAAAGAUUGGAAAUUUCUGAGCAUGGUCCACGGUUUACUCCGUUGACAUUUUACAUCCCGUUUCUUUCAUUUUCAUCCUUUAGAAUAUGUUAUGUGUAAUUCAUGAGGAAAAAACAAAAAAAAUCAUAAGCAUGUCACGUAUCUUUAUAUGUGAUAAAGAUUUCCCUUGAUUUACAUAAACUUUAACUUUGAUUUAUUUGACUUACACAACGUAUUUUUUUGAAAAUUACUUCGCCAAUGAACUUAUAAGAUCGAUCGUUUUUGAAGCAACUUAAAACAUUCGCAGUGCGUGUUCUAUCAGACCUAAAGAUACUCGGCUUCGUCUGGUAUCUUUGUAUCUGAUAAAACACUGCUGUACAUGCUUUAAAUAGUGCAUAAAGUUUCGGCAGAGUAGUGUGCGGGCCAUGUUCAUUAUUUCUCUGUAACUACGUCUUAGAUAACAUGACUCACUCAUUUGGCUCUGUAUAUCUGAAGUUGCAGCAAACGUUGCCUCGCGUGACAUGACCUUAAAGUUUAGUGUAAACACGAUAGAUAAACCACCCAGACGAAAUAAAAUAUUGCAGGGAAACUGUGAGCAUGGCUCAUCGUUUAACCUGUCAACAUUUUUCAUUAUAUUUCUUUCAAUUUUCAUCCCUUAGUGGUUUUGGGAACAAAUCAUGCCUGAUAUUUUCCUGAUAACUGGUCUAAUGUCGUCGAAAUAUCUUAAUUUUUCCGCUCGCAAAAAUUCGUCCAAAUUUGGCCGUCUCUAGCGUAAAUCGGGUCAUUCGCAUUUAAGAUCCAUUUAACAUAUUCACAUUGGCUAAUUAGUAUAGUAAAGGAACAAGAUUAAAUCACAGUAAAUUUCGAAUAGUAGGGGACUAAUUAUAUAAUCAUAUAGUGCUAAUAGCACGAUAUUAAUUCUACUUUAAGUUUAUAAUUAUCAUAUACUUGCUUUAUUUUAAUCAACAUUUUUCAAUUAUCAGUUUAAAAACUUCGCAUUGCGAAAUGCAAUCAAGGGUUGGUACUUUAUGUAAUCUAAAUUGAAAUGUAGGAACAUGUAAUCCAAAUGAUGUAAUCUUGAUUAAACCAAUUUGUCGAUCAACUGGUGUGCUGAAAUUAUUUAAAAUAAUUCAUGUUUAUCUCAUUACUUUAGUCGAUAGUCCGAGUUUCAUGCAAAUAUUGACCUCACUGAAACAAGAAAAAUGUCAAUGCUUUUAAAUGGUGUCAGUCAUCUAUAGAUAUAUGAAAAUAUAUGUUGAAACUCUAUUAGGCAAAAAAACCCUGGGUUUUUGGUUUCCCGA